ACUAGCUAUAGGAACCAACCAAGAUAUUUUGCCACAAAUAGGGACCUUUUGGGGCGCCUGGGUGGCUCAGGAGGUUGGGCGUCUGCAUUAGGCUCAGGUCAUGAUCUCAGGGUCCUGGGAUGAGCCCCAGGUCAGGCUCUUUGCUCAGUGGGGAGUCUGUUUCUCUCUCACUGUCCCUCUGUGCUCUCUCUCUCAAAUGAGUAAAUAAAAUCUUAAAAAAAAAAGGGGGGGGGACCUUUCACCUGCUUCUGCUACUGCAAAUGAUUGGACAUCCAUUUACAUUUCCUCUUCCUUCAUGUGGGGAAACCUUCUGUUCACUGUGCUUCAGGCUGGACCUGUCCUGAAAGUGGGUCCUUGAAUUACCUUUGUACUAUUCCAACUUGCCAAGUGGUUAUGAGACCUGAGGGAAGUGUUUAGGCAUGGGUUUUAGGCCAGGGAUAUAUAAUACAUUUGGUACCAACUUUGGGCCCCAAAGAUAAGGGCAUUUGUAGCUGGACCGAAGACAAGGGAACAAUGAAAACUAAGAUUUCACCCUCUGCGGUGAUCUUCACCACCAUCACCACCGAUGCAGUAAGUACAGAGGAUUCACCUACCCAGCCUUUUUUUUUUCUUUCCAUCCAGGCUCCCUGCAAGAGAGAUCUAAGUGAGCUAGUCCUCAGAGCUGGUGAGGAUAUGGCUGGUGACUCAGUCUCAGCUCUCUGUGCCCGAAGUGUCUAGGGAUAAGCCUGCUCACCCAGGCGGUAGCUAUAGCCUCUCUGGGAGGUCGCAGUGCCCCGAAGUGGUGAGGCUGUAGGCCUAGGGGACUGGGGCCUUCUGCCUCUCUUUGUAUUUUUAUUUAAUACUCACAAAUUGCUGUUCAUCCUUUUUUUUUUUUUUCUUACAGUUUCUUAAAGAAGGACCAAAGUAAUGCCAAGAACUCCCAGAUGAAGAGGACCUUCCUGGAUCUGAAACUGGGAUUAACCAAUUCUUUACUUCAAGAGAAAGGUUCAACAAAUUCUGAGGAUAAAGCCAAACAGGCCCGUGACUGUCCCUUGAGUACUGACAGUGUAAACAAGCUUCUGGCUUCUCCAGGUCAAGCAGAGAAACACUUUUCAUUAGAAUGUUGGGAUUCUUCUUUGUUAUUCAAACAGACACCCACACAUAUCCUCUUCACCCUCCCUAAUGAAAAGCCUCAACAGAUGGAGAGCCUAGGCUCCCAAGACUUAUGGCUGAGAAGAUGCACUUCACUCAAGGAGGCCAGGACAUCUCUUCAGACCUUUCCUCUGCAACUUCCCCACACCCCGGCUAGCUCAGUUGGGUGUCUUCACUCCACUCCAGGCUGGAUCCUGAGUUUCUCCUGGUAGCCAGGGCAAGCUCUCCCUCGGCCUAAUCUCUUUCCCCACCCCCACCCCCCAUUCUGCAGUGGGCCAUUCUCGCAGCUUCCUCUCUACCCUGGUUUAAUUCACUUCUGAUUGCCUGGUCAGAACAACCAGGGGCUCCCAAACGGCUGCCACCCCCAUCCAUGGGCCUGGGUUUUAGACUCUGAGCCCUUUCUUCAAGCCUCAGGAGGACCCCCGACAACCUCUCUGACCCCUACCCUCCCCCCACUCCACCCUUCACUGGUCUCUGUAGGGAAAAAAAUAAAAUAAAAAAAUGCUGAUCAAGGCCUGGGCCAAAAAGCCACUUCCUCUCCUGGAGCAGCGAACGAGGUAAACCUCCCAGAACCCAAGGCCCAAAGCGAAGCCCAGCCCUUCCUCACCUCCAGGCGUAGGCCCCACGGUGCUAUUGUGAGGCCUCGCCAGCCGCCGAGCCCAUGGGUAAGCUGCGCACACAAAGGCGCAGGGCCCCUGGAAGCCCGGCUGCUCCGAGCGCCCUCAGCCCAGCGCCCGACGGUGAGGGGCCAGCAGCCUCGAGGCCUUGGUGCGCUCCCCAUUGCCCCCGGUGGGCCUGUCUCGGGCAGAAGUCACGGGCUAGGGUGGAGGUUUCCUUCUGCCAGCUGGCCCCUUCCGGCUGCCAGGCACACACUCCCCCAGUUCCCGGGGGAUGGAGAGGCCUGGGCCUAGGGCGCCAUUGCCCAGCCCGUGCUCCCCUCCCCCACUCUCUUCUUUCUCUGCCUUUCCGAGCCCGGGGAGGGAGGAGGCGGGCGCCUCCGCCGAUAGAGCUGCUAUUGUGACCUUCCCUCGCUGAGCGGGAACCCAACCGAGAGUGCACCGCCGGCGGGGGAGGAGGCGGCUGUGUGUGCAGACCUCGGGGUGCGGAGGGGGUGGUACUGGGAAAUAAAGGUUUGCAACCUUGGGCAGUUGGGCCCUUCAGAGGGCGUUUGGUUGUGUUUAGACUCCAGUGCUUCCUAACACUAAUUGCAGGCUCAAAAGGGACAGAAUUUAUGGCGAAGGCCAAGGCGGCUUGUUUAUAAUUUAUGAAGUUUUAAAUGGCUGUGCCGCGGACCCCCCUCUAGCCCUGGCCGACGGCCGCGCGGGAAGCGCCG
rnacentral:lncRNA from 1 species